rnacentral:rRNA from 1 species
UACGGGGGGGGUAAGCGUUGUUCAGAAUUACUGGGCGUAAAGGGCUCGUAGGCGGCCAACUAAGUCAGACGUGAAAUCCCUCAGCUUAACUGGGGAACUGCGUCUGAUACUGGAUGGCUUGGAUUUGGGAGAGGGAUGCGGAAUUCCAGGUGUAGCGGUGAAAUGCGUAGAUAUCUGGAGGAACACCGGUGGCGAAGGCGGGUUGCUGGGCUGACACUGACGCUGAAGCGCGAAAGCUGGGGGAGCAAACAGG